UGGGGAAUAUUGGACAAUGGGCGCAAGCCUGAUCCAGCCAUGCCGCGUGAGUGAAGAAGGCCUUAGGGUUGUAAAGCUCUUUUGGCAGGGACGAUAAUGACGGUACCUGCAGAAUAAGCCCCGGCAAACUUCGUGCCAGCAGCCGCGGUAAUACGAAGGGGGCUAGCGUUGUUCGGAUUUACUGGGCGUAAAGCGCACGUAGGCGGAUUGUUAAGUCAGGGGUGAAAUCCCGGAGCUCAACUCCGGAACUGCCUUUGAUACUGGCGAUCUUGAGGCUGGAAGAGGUUGGUAGAAUUCCCAGUGUAGAGGUGAAAUUCGUAGAUAUUGGGAAGAAUACCAGUGGCGAAGGCGGCCAACUGGUCCAGAUCUGACGCUGAGGUGCGAAAGCGUGGGGAGCAAAC
rnacentral:rRNA from 1 species